CAGCAGCCGCGGUAAUACGAAGGGGGCUAGCGUUGCUCGGAAUUACUGGGCGUAAAGGGAGCGUAGGCGGAUCGUUAAGUUGGGGGUGAAAGCCCGGGGCUCAACCUCGGAAUUGCCUUCAAUACUGGCGAUCUUGAGUAUGGAAGAGGUAUGUGGAACUCCGAGUGUAGAGGUGAAAUUCGUAGAUAUUCGGAAGAACACCAGUGGCGAAGGCGACAUACUGGUCCAUUACUGACGCUGAGGCUCGAAAGCGUGGGGAGCAAACAGGAUUAGAUACCCCUGUAGUCCCUGUCUCUUAUAC
rnacentral:rRNA from 1 species